UACGUAGGGGGCUAGCGUUGUCCGGAAUCAUUGGGCGUAAAGCGCGUGUAGGCGGCUCGGUAAGUCCGCUCUGAAAGCCUGGGGCUCAACCCCAGGAGGCGGGUGGAUACUGCCGGGCUCGAGUCCGGAAGAGGUGAGUGGAACUCCGAGUGUAGAGGUGAAAUUCGUAGAUAUUCGGAAGAACACCAGUGGCGAAGGCGGCUCACUGGUCCGGUACUGACGCUGAGGUGCGAAAGCGUGGGGAGCAAACAGG
rnacentral:rRNA from 1 species